GGGUUGUGAGGUUAAGCGAAUAAGCGUACACGGUGGAUGCCUAGGCAAUCAGAGGCGAUGAAGGACGUGCUAAUCUGCGAAAAGCGUCGGUAAGGUGAUAUGAACCGUUAUACCCGACGAUAUCCGAAUGGGGAAACCCAGUAUCCAAUGGAUACUAUCAUUAACUGAAUCCAUAGGUUAAUGAGGCGAACCGGGAGAACUGAAACAUCUCAGUACCCCGAGGAAAAGAAAUCAACCGAGAUUCCCCUAGUAGCGGCGAGCGAACGGGGAGCAGCCCAGAGUCUUAAUCAAUAGCAGUGUCAGGAGAACGGUCUGGAAAGUCCGGCAGUAAAGGGUGAUAGCCCCGUAUCUGAAGAUGCUGUUAUUGUGAACUCGACGAGUAGGGCGGGACACGUGUUAUCCUGUCUGAAUAUGGGGGGACCAUCCUCCAAGGCUAAAUACUCCUGAUUGACCGAUAGUGAACCAGUACCGUGAGGGAAAGGCGAAAAGAACCCCGGCGAGGGGAGUGAAAAAGAACCUGAAACCGUGUACGUACAAGCAGUAGGAGCCUCUUUAUGGGGUGACUGCGUACCUUUUGUAUAAUGGGUCAGCGACUUAUAUUCUGUAGCGAGGUUAACCGUAUAGGGGAGCCGUAGGGAAACCGAGUCUUAACUGGGCGAAUGAGUUGCAGGGUAUAGACCCGAAACCCGGUGAUCUAUCCAUGGGCAGGUUGAAGGUUGGGUAACACUAACUGGAGGACCGAACCGACUAAUGUUGAAAAAUUAGCGGAUGACUUGUGGAUGGGGGUGAAAGGCCAAUCAAACCGGGAGAUAGCUGGUUCUCCCCGAAAGCUAUUUAGGUAGCGCCUCGUGAAUUCAUCUUCGGGGGUAGAGCACUGUUUCGACUAGGGGGUCAUCCCGACUUACCAACUCGAUGCAAACUGCGAAUACCGAAGAAUGUUAUCACGGGAGACACACGGCGGGUGCUAACGUCCGUCGUGAAGAGGGAAACAACCCAGACCGCCAGCUAAGGUCCCAAAGUCAUGGUUAAGUGGGAAACGAAGUGGGAAGGCUCAGACAGCCAGGAUGUUGGCUUAGAAGCAGCCAUCAUUUAAAGAAAGCGUAAUAGCUCACUGGUCGAGUCGGCCCGCGCGGAAGAUGUAACGGGGCUAAACCAUGCACCGAAGCUGCGGCAGCGACACAAUGUGUUGUUGGGUAGGGGAGCGUUCUGUAAGCCUGCGAAGGUGUACUGUGAGGUAUGCUGGAGGUAUCAGAAGUGCGAAUGCUGACAUAAGUAACGAUAAUGCGGGUGAAAAACCCGCACGCCGGAAGACCAAGGGUUCCUGUCCAACGUUAAUCGGGGCAGGGUGAGUCGACCCCUAAGGCGAGGCUGAAAAGCGUAGUCGAUGGGAAACGGGUUAAUAUUCCCGUACUGGUGGUAACUGCGAUGGGGGAACGGAGAAGGCUAGGUUGUCCGGGCGACGGUCGUCCCGGUUCAAGCAGGUAGGCAGAGUGAUUAGGCAAAUCCGGUCACUUAAUGCUGAGAUGUGAUGACGAACCACUAAGGUGGUGAAGCAAUUGAUGCCCCGCUUCCAGGAAAAGCCUCUAAGCUUCAGGUUACCAACAAUCGUACCCCAAACCGACACAGGUGGUCAGGUAGAGAAUACUCAGGCGCUUGAGAGAACUCGGGUGAAGGAACUAGGCAAAAUGGUGCCGUAACUUCGGGAGAAGGCACGCUGGCGGUAGGUAAAGUCCCUCGCGGACGGCGCUGAAGCCAGUCGAAGAUACCAGCUGGCUGCAACUGUUUAUUAAAAACACAGCACUGUGCAAACACGAAAGUGGACGUAUACGGUGUGACGCCUGCCCGGUGCUGGAAGGUUAAUUGAUGGGGUUAGCGUAAGCGAAGCUCCUGAUCGAAGCCCCAGUAAACGGCGGCCGUAACUAUAACGGUCCUAAGGUAGCGAAAUUCCUUGUCGGGUAAGUUCCGACCUGCACGAAUGGCGUAAUGAUGGCCAGGCUGUCUCCACCCGAGACUCAGUGAAAUUGAACUCGCUGUGAAGAUGCAGUGUACCCGCGGCAAGACGGAAAGACCCCGUGAACCUUUACUAUAGCUUGACACUGAACAUUGAGCCUUGAUGUGUAGGAUAGGUGGGAGGCUUUGAAGUGUGGACGCCAGUCUGCAUGGAGCCAACCUUGAAAUACCACCCUUUAACGUUUGAUGUUCUAACCUAGGCCCAUAAACUGGGUCGGGGACCGUGUCUGGUGGGUAGUUUGACUGGGGCGGUCUCCUCCUAAAGAGUAACGGAGGAGCACGAAGGUUGGCUAAGCAUGGUCGGACAUCAUGCGGUUAGUGCAAAGGCAUAAGCCAGCUUGACUGCGAGAGUGACGGCUCGAGCAGGUACGAAAGUAGGUCUUAGUGAUCCGGUGGUUCUGAAUGGAAGGGCCAUCGCUCAACGGAUAAAAGGUACUCCGGGGAUAACAGGCUGAUACCGCCCAAGAGUUCAUAUCGACGGCGGUGUUUGGCACCUCGAUGUCGGCUCAUCACAUCCUGGGGCUGAAGUAGGUCCCAAGGGUAUGGCUGUUCGCCAUUUAAAGUGGUACGCGAGCUGGGUUUAGAACGUCGUGAGACAGUUCGGUCCCUAUCUGCCGUGGGCGUUGGAAGAUUGAGAGGGGUUGCUCCUAGUACGAGAGGACCGGAGUGAACGCACCACUGGUGUUCGGGUUGUCAUGCCAAUGGCAUUGCCCGGUAGCUAAGUGCGGAAGAGAUAACCGCUGAAAGCAUCUAAGCGGGAAACUUGCCUCGAGAUGAGUCUUCCCUGUCGCUUUAAGCGACCUAAAGGAACGUUUAAGACUAAGACGUUGAUAGGCUGGGUGUGUAAGCGUAGCGAUACGUUGAGCUAACCAGUACUAAUGAACCGUGAGGCUUAACCUGACAACACCGAAAGUGUUUUG
rnacentral:rRNA from 1 species